UGUUUGUGUUGAAUGUAAUUUUGGUAGGGUUGAAAUCAGCACAAAGAGUUCUGUCGAGCCACAUUUUUGGUUUUUGCAUCGCUAGAUUGUUGAUAUUCUAGACUUACGUGCACAGAACGACUUCGGACUAAUUCUGAUUAAAUCCUGCAGUACGGGAACAGACUAACUGUCGGAAAGUUGGUUGCAAGUUUGGACUAUCAAAGACACAAACCGAAUCGGGUCAAAAAAAAGGGUUGCAUUCGCACAAACUCCAAAUAAAAGUGGUGUUUAAGGAGAGUUUAACGAAAUUUUUUGAAUGAUAAACU